CGCUUUAGACAAGAGUCAUUCAUUUUUGUUGUUUACCCAUGUGAUGUUGAGUCAGAACAAUUUCUUAAAGUGAAGUUGCCCCUUACAGUGCAAGGAUGCUUUAGUUUUGUUAUUAAAGGAGCCUUGCUGCUCGGUUGCAAGUAAGCUUUUCUUCAAAUUGUAAAAAUUAUAGUCUAAAUUGUGAGAACACUAUGUGCACUCCCCUCAUUUAAAGAUAUAAUAAUAAAUGUAGUUUUUUGGGGUCGAAGAUGGCGUAUGGUGAGGUAUUACUCGGUGGCGGUGGACUGGGUUUUGCUUGGAUGGACUGGAAUGCUGAUGAUGGAAUGGUAGUGGAAGCUUCUCGCAAGCUUCAUACGGGUAGUUGGCUUCUCUCAUUCUAUUGCCGACUAUCCCCUGCUUAUGACUGUGCUCAGGUAGUUUUUUGGGGUCGAAGAUGGCGUAUGGUGAGGUAUUACUCGAUGGUAGUGGACUGGGUUUUGCUUGGACGGACUAGAAUACUGAUGGUGGAAUGGUAGUGGAAGCUUCUCGGUUUCUCGGCUGUGGUGCAGUUCGUUGGGCUUUACUGUUUCUGUGGGCUCUUUUUCUGUUGGUUUUUUUUAGUGUUAGGCCCUCUUUUUGUUCGUUAAUAGGUGUGUCUUAGGCCUUAUUUGCUUGUAAUUAUGUAGUUGUUGUUUAAUAAAAUCUCCUUUUGACCAAAAAAGAAAAAAAAAAUCGGAGAAUAGAAAAUAAUUGGAGAUUUGUACCUUAAUCUGAUCAAUUAGAACUCAAUCUAAAGACAA